GGAUUAACGCUGGCGGCAUGCCUAAUACAUGCAAAUCGAACGAGGUUAGUUUACUAACCUAGUGGUGAACGGGUGAGUAACAAGUAUCCAAUCUGCCCUUAAGAUGGGAAUAACUGACCGAAAGGUUAGCUAAUGCCCAAUAAUAACAUUCUUAUCGCAUGAGAAAAUGUAGAAAGACGCCUUUAAAGCGUCGCUUUUGGAUGAGGGUGCUCCGUAUCAGAUAGUUGGUAGGGUAAAAGCCUACCAAGUCUAUGACGCGUAGCUGUACUGAGAGGUAGAACAGCCACAAUGGGACUGAGACACGGCCCAUACUCCUACGGGAGGCAGCAGUAGGGAAUUUUUCACAAUGGGCGCAAGCCUUAUGAAGCAAUGCCGCGUGAACGACGAAGGUCUUAUAGAUUGUAAAGUUCUUUUAUUUGGGAAGAAACGUUAUGAUAGGAAAUGAUUAUAACUUGACUGUACCUUUUGAAUAAGUAUCGGCUAACUAUGUGCCAGCAGCCGCGGUAAUACAUAGGAUGCAAGCGUUAUCCGGAUUUACUGGGCGUAAAACGAGCGCAGGCGGAUCUGCAAGUUUGGUAUUAAAUCUAUGUGCUCAACGCAUAGCUGUAUCAAAAACUGCAAAUCUAGAGUGUAGUAGAGAGUUGGGGAACUCCAUGUGGAGCGGUAAAAUGCGUAGAUAUAUGGAAGAACACCGGCGGCGAAGGCGCCAACUUAGACUAACACUGACGCUUAGGCUCGAAAGUGUGGGGAUCAAAUAGGAUUAGAUACCCUAGUAGUCCACACUGUAAACGAUCAUCAUUAAAUGUCGGCACGAACGUGUCGGUGUUGUAGCUAACGCAUUAAAUGAUGUGCCUGGGUAGUACAUUCGCAAGAAUGAAACUCAAACGGAAUUGACGGGGACCCGCACAAGUGGUGGAGCAUGUUGCUUAAUUUGACAAUACACGUAAAACCUUACCUAGGUUUGACAUCGAUUGCAAAGCUAUAGAAAUAUAGUAGAGGUUAACAAUCUGACAGGUGGUGCAUGGUUGUCGUCAGCUCGUGUCGUGAGAUGUUGGGUUAAGUCCCGCAACGAGCGCAACCCCUUUCGUUAGUUAUUUUUUAACGAUACUGCUACUGCAAAGUAGAGGAAGGUGGGGAUGACGUCAAAUCAUCAUGCCCCUUAUAUCUAGGGCUGCAAACGUGCUACAAUGGUUGAGACAAACUGCUGCAAAACUGUAAAGUCAAGCAAAUCAGACAAAAUCAAUCUCAGUUCGGAUAGAGGGCUGCAAUUCGCCCUCUUGAAGUUGGAAUCACUAGUAAUCGCGAAUCAGACAUGUCGCGGUGAAUACGUUCUCGGGUCUUGUACACACCGCCCGUCAAACUAUGGGAGCUGAUAAUAUCUGAAACCGUACUGUUAACCGCAAGGAGGCAUACGUCUAGGGUAGGAUUGGUGACUGGAGUUAAGUCGUAACAAGGUAUCCCUACGAGAACGUGGGGAUGGAUCACCUCCUUU
rnacentral:rRNA from 1 species